rnacentral:rRNA from 1 species
CCUGUAUGGUGAACUGCGGAAGGACAUUACCUGAAUAUUACAGACGUUCAUCUUAACUUGAAGACCGAACUCUCACUUUCUAACCCUGUGCAUUUGUUUUGGCUACGUAGGAUAUCUCGCGUAUCCAGAACACCUCUUCAUUUACAAACACUAAGUCUAUGAAUGUUUAAAUUUUAUAACAAAAUAAAACUUUCAACAACGCGAUCUCUUGGCUCUCGCAUCGAUGAAGAACGCAUCGAAAUGUGAUAAGUAAUGUGAAUUGCAAAAUUCACUGAAUCAUCGAAUCUUUGAACGCAUCUUGCACUCUCUGGUAUUCCGGAGAGUAUGCCUGUUUGAGUGUCAUGAAUUCUUCAACCCUCCCUUUUCUUAGUGAAUUGAGAGGUGUUUGGAUUCUGAGUGUUGCUCCUAACCCGAGCUCAUUCGUAAUGCAUUAGCAUCCAUAUUCGAAUUUCGGAUUGACUUGGCGUAAUAGACUAUUCGCUGAGGAAUCUAACUUCGGUUAGAGCCGUGUUUGAACUAGGAAGCUACUAAUCUAGCUUAAUCCUACCUUAUAAUUAGACCUCAAAUCAGGCAGGAUUACCCGCUGAACUUAAGCAUAUCAAAGCCGGGAAGGAAAAGGAAUGGGGGGGGGGGGUUG